rnacentral:lncRNA from 1 species
GUGAGUGUUGAUUCAUUGGUGCAACCAACCGUUGGUAGCAUCUUCCGAAGCUGGAAGCAAAAUGAAAACAUGUUGAUGUUACGCGCCAUUUAGAGGGUUCGGAGAGUGGAACAUCAGCUAUAGAAAAGACAAGAGAAUAGACACAUGAAAAAUAUUAUAGUAUACUAUGGUACAAAUGCUGUAGUAUUCAUUGUAGUGUUUUUGCCGACUUUACUGUAGUAUAUUCACUGUAGUGUUUUUGUGGACAUUAGAGUAGUAUUAUUUACUACAGUGUUUGUGUUUUAUCAUCUUUGAUAUAGCAGUGGAGGGUUUCUCCUUGAGGAUCCUGUUGGACAAAAUACGCAAAGAGCAAAUGUUCCAUUACCUGUAGGAAAUCAAAGAUCAAAGCUCAUGUGGUCAGAUGAGGCAAGCAUAUAAGGCUGAGUGGUGAGUUAUCAUUUACUUCCUCCUUUAUAACAGCAGGGAGAUGCAAUGUACUCUCCCUCCUCUUCUCUAUCUCUCCUUCCUCCCCAUCUCUCUCCAUCCUCUCCUCUAUCUCUCCUUCCUGCCCAUCUCUCACCCUCCUCUAUCUCUCCUUCCUGCCCAUCUCUCACCCUCCUCUAUCUCUCCUUCCUCCCCAUCUCUCACCCUCCUCUCCUCUAUCUCUCCUUCCUCCCCAUCUCUCACCAUCCUCUCCUCUAUCUCUCCUUCCUGCCCAUCUCUCACCCUCCUCUAUCUCUCCUUCCUCCCCAUCUCUCACCCUCCUCUCCUCUAUCUCUCCUUCCUCCCCAUCUCUCUCCAUCCUCUCCUCUAUCUCUCCUUCCUGCCCAUCUCUCACCCUCCUCUAUCUCUCCUUCCUCCCCAUCUCUCACCCUCCUCUAUCUCUCCUUCCUCCCCAUCUCUCACCCUCCUCUCCUCUAUCUCUCCUUCCUCCCCAUCUCUCUCCAUCCUCUCCUCUAUCUCUCCUUCCUCCCCAUCUCUCACCCUCCUCUAUCUCUCCUUCCUCCCCAUCUCUCACCCUCCUCUAUCUCUCCUUCCUCCCCAUCUCUCACCCUCCUCUCCUCUAUCUCUCCUUCCUCCCCAUCUCUCUCCAUCCUCUCCUCUAUCUCUCCUUCCUCCCCAUCUCUCACCCUCCUCUCCUCUAUCUCUCCUUCCUCCCCAUCUCUCUCCAUCCUCUCCUCUAUCUCUCCUUCCUCCCCAUCUCUCACCCUCCUCUAUCUCUCCUUCCUCCCCAUCUCUCUACAUCCUCUAUCUCUCCUUCCUCCCCUAUCUCUCUCCCUCCUCUCCUCUAUCUUUCCUUCCUCCCCAUCUCUCUCCAUCCUCUCCUCUAUCUCUCCUUCCUCCCCAUCUCGCUCCAUCCUUUCCUCAAUCUCUCCUUCCUCCCCCAUCUCUCACCCUCCUCUAUCUCUCCUUCCUCCCCAUCUCUCUCCAUCCUCUCCUCAAUCUCUCCUUCCUCCCCCAUCUCUCUCAUCCUCUCCUCUAUCUCUCCUUCCUCCCCAUCUCUCUCCAUCCUCUCCUCUAUCUCUCCUUCCUCCCCAUCCUCUCCUCUAUCUCUCCUUCCUCCCCCAUCUCUCUCAUUCUCUCCUCUAUCUCUCCUUCCUCCCCAUCUCUCAUUAUCCUCUCCUCUCUCUCCUUCCUCCCCAUCUCUCUUCAUCUCUCCUCAUCCCCAUAUCCAUCAUCUUCACUAUCUCUCUCUCCUUCUCUCGCCAUACUAUCAUGCUCCAUCUCUCUCCAUCUCUCUCCUUCUCUCUCCAUACUAUCCUGCUCCCUCUCCAUACUAUCAUGGUCCAUCGCUGUCCAUCUCUCUCCAUCUCUUUCCAUCCUCUCCUCCUCUCUCAUCUCUCUCCUUCUCUCUCCUUCUCUCUCCUCCUUUCACAUCUCUCUCCAUGACUUACUAUGUGCCUCCGAGAUGCCCCCCUCUACACGCACGCACACACACACACACACACACACGCACGCACGCACGCACGCACACACACACACACACAC